UCUCCUCUUGAUUUGUCAGUCUUCUACUAUAGUGCAAAGACACUGAACAAGCAGGAAGCUUUAAAAAGGCUAUAUAAAAAGAAGACACAUAGUUUUUCACUUUAAUUUUAAGAAAAAAAUAUAAAUUUAAAUUUCUUAAAUUUUUUUUAAAAAAUUUCUAUUUCGCAUAGCGUCUCUUUUCCGAAGAAUUUAUAAGUAUAUAUAUGUGAACAUGUUACAUAGUGCCGCAGUAGACCGUGGAUGAACAGUGUCGUAUGUGUGGAAGCUGUACAUUUUGGACCGGAUGGGUUUAUAAAUGAGGCUAUAGUCGGUUUCGUAACAGGAGUCGGAGAGACUGAUUGCUUGUCGGGCCUGGAUCUCGAACCGGUCACGGUGUUAUUACACUGAUGUUAAAGCCAGUCAGCAGGCGUCUGAUAUAUGAUAUAAAGAAAUUGCGUGAAUGUUCGUUCCCUUGCGUAUGAGACGCAUAACUAAUAUUACACGAAAUAAUUAUUUUUCUCAUUUCAGUCAAAUCCGAUGUGCUACCGGCAUUUUGGCAUUGAAGGACAUUGCUUACCGGUGUGCCGAGUGCAUUUGUCGGCAUUAUUAAUGUAUAACAAGUUUUCUUUACACUGACAGGACAUUGGUUGUAUUACACAGGAUAUUACAUGGAGGUUGCUUCAGUGUGAUAAAAUAGUUGUUGUUGUUGUUGUUGUUUGUGUAUUAUUUUAUUUAUUCAUUUGUUUUUUCAGUUUAGAACAUAUUCCGAGCUUUCAGCUUCAGCCCGCAUCAGGCCGUCGUCAGAUACAUUCUGCUAUGAAUGGGAUGCUUCUAUUCUGAUUUGCUUUUCAGGUUUACAACGCAUGUCUGUGUUACUAAGAAAAUAUUUAACGGGGCUGAUUUCCUGGGUCGGCCUCGUGCAGUUUCCUUAAUAUGUAUUUGUCCUGGUACCGACUGGAAACACAACUUGACGGUAUUUGUAUUUCAGUUUUGCUCGAUUCAUUCUACUUCAUUCUUUAGAUAGGACUUUUCCUGUUGGGACUUUUGUUCAUGUUUUUCUGUAUGUUGUUUUUUCAUAGCAUUUAAAUGUGUUUCAAUUCUUUGAAAUGUGCAUUUCAGAUACUUUGUUGUCUGUGCUGAAAGAGGCUGUCUGGUAAUAGUUAUUUUAAUAUUCUUUUCACUGUUUCAGCUAACAUAUAUGUAGAAAAUUAUUCAGUUGCAGUGUUUUAAUGACAGACUUCCUGUAAAGUUCCUGAACCAGUUGAUAUCAGAAUGAUAAAGAAAUGAUAGAUGGUACCAAUCUGUGAAUAUUAUGUCACUUUUUUAUAUAGGUGUUCCUGAUCACACUUAGAACUAUACACACACACACUCAGCUGUUUCUCAAGAAAGGCUGACACCGGUUCACAAUCUUUCUUUUGUCAUUUGCAGGCGAUGAAUUCCAUAUGUCAGAAGGAAAUUUAGAAUCGUACAACCAGUCAGCAGCUACCCAUAAACCAGACCAACCUAUUAAGUCGAGCGGGCAGAAGCUGUGAUUCCCAGUGUAACACCGCAGAAUGACGGCUAGUUUUCGGAUGACAUUUCUGUGCGGAAGGAUUAAAAAAACUACACCAGACUGGUGGCCAUGACAGAUGUCAGUGGGAAAUUUAAACAUGGACUAGAUACUUUGAUGUGUAGCAAAAAAGUUCAUCGUUGAUGGUGGUGUUUUUCUGUGAUAUAUUGACUGGGAUAGUAUUACUCUUCAGAAAUACAGAGCUGUCAAUGCUGCAA